GACGAACGCUGGCGGCGUGCUUAACACAUGCAAGUCGAACGGAAAGGCCCUGCUUGCCGGGUACUCGAGUGGCGAACGGGUGAGUAACACGUGGGUGAUCUGCCCUGCACUUCGGGAUAAGCUUGGGAAACUGGGUCUAAUACCGGAUAGGAGCCAUUCUUAGUGUGAUGGUUGGAAAGUUUUUUUCGGUGUAGGAUGAGCUCGCGGCCUAUCAGCUUGUUGGUGGGGUAAUGGCCUACCAAGGCGGCGACGGGUAGCCGGCCUGAGAGGGUGGACGGCCACAUUGGGACUGAGAUACGGCCCAGACUCCGACGGGAGGCAGCAGUGGGGAAUAUUGCACAAUGGGCGCAAGCCUGAUGCAGCGACGCCGCGUGGGGGAUGACGGCCUUCGGGUUGUAAACUCCUUUCGCUAGGGACGAAGCUUUUUGUGACGGUACCUAGAUAAGAAGCACCGGCUAACUACGUG
rnacentral:rRNA from 1 species